rnacentral:rRNA from 1 species
UUACGGUCAAAUCACGCUGAAACACCGGUUCUCGUUCGAUCACCGAAGUUAAGCAUCGUAGAGCCAGGUCAGUACUUAGAUGGGGGACCGCUUGGGAACACCUGGUAUUGUAAG